CUCGUUGGUGACCAGCGGAGGGUCAUUACCGAGUUUACAACUCCCAAACCCCUGUGAACAUACCUAUACGUUGCCUCGGCGGAUCAGCCCGCGCCCGGUAAAACGGGACGGCCCGCCCGAGGACCCUAAACUCUGUUUUUAGUGGAACUUCUGAGUAAAACAAACAAAUAAAUCAAAACUUUCAACAACGGAUCUCUUGGUUCUGGCAUCGAUGAAGAACGCAGCAAAAUGCGAUAAGUAAUGUGAAUUGCAGAAUUCAGUGAAUCAUCGAAUCUUUGAACGCACAUUGCGCCCGCCAGUAUUCUGGCGGGCAUGCCUGUUCGAGCGUCAUUUCAACCCUCAAGCUCAGCUUGGUGUUGGGACUCGCGGUAACCCGCGUUCCCCAAAUCGAUUGGCGGUCACGUCGAGCUUCCAUAGCGUAGUAAUCAUACACCUCGUUACUGGUAAUCGUCGCGGCCACGCCGUAAAACCCCAACUUCUGAAUGUUGACCUCGGAUCAGGUAGGAAUACCCGCUGAACUUAAGCAUAUCAAUAAGCGGAGGAAAAGAAACCAACAGGGAUUGCCCUAGUAACGGCGAGUGAAGCGGCAACAGCUCAAAUUUGAAAUCUGGCUCUCGGGCCCGAGUUGUAAUUUGUAGAGGAUACUUUUGAUGCGGUGCCUUCCGAGUUCCCUGGAACGGGACGCCAUAGAGGGUGAGAGCCCCGUCUGGUUGGAUGCCAAAUCUCUGUAAAGUUCCUUCGACGAGUCGAGUAGUUUGGGAAUGCUGCUCUAAAUGGGAGGUAUAUGUCUUCUAAAGCUAAAUACCGGCCAGAGACCGAUAGCGCACAAGUAGAGUGAUCGAAAGAUGAAAAGCACUUUGAAAAGAGAGUUAAAAAGUACGUGAAAUUGUUGAAAGGGAAGCGUUUAUGACCAGACUUGGGCUUGGAUAAUCAUCUGGGGUUCUCCCCAGUGCACUUUUCCAGUCCAGGCCAGCAUCAGUUUUCGCCGGGGGAUAAAGGCUUCGGGAAUGUGGCUCCCUCCGGGGAGUGUUAUAGCCCGUUGCGUAAUACCCUGGCGGGGACUGAGGUUCGCGCAUCUGCAAGGAUGCUGC
rnacentral:rRNA from 1 species